GACGAGGGGUGCUAGCGUUGUUCGGAAUCACUGGGCGUAAAGCGUAUGUAGGCGGACUUUUAAGUCGGGUGUGAAAGCCCAUGGCUUAACCAUGGAAUUGCAUUCGAAACUGGAAGCCUUGAGUGUGGGAGAGAUUGGUAGAAUACCUGGUGUAGUGGUGAAAUACGUAGAUAUCAGGUGGAAUACCGGCGGCGAAGGCGGCCAAUUGGCCCAACACUGACGCUGAGAUACGAAAGCGUGGGGAUCAAACAGG
rnacentral:rRNA from 1 species